GUCCACGCCGUAAACUAUGAGUGCUAGAUGUUGGGAGGUUUACUUCUCAGUGUCGCAGCUAACGCAUUAAGCACUCCGCCUGGGGAGUACGGCCGCAAGGUUAAACUCAAAGGAAUUGACGGGGGCCCGCACAAGCGGUGGAGCAUGUGGUUUAAUUCGAAGCAACGCGCAGAACCUUACCAUCCCUUGACAUCCCUAUCGCGGUUUCCAGAGAUGGAUUCCUUCAGCUCGGCUGGAUAGGUGACAGGUGCUGCAUGGCUGUCGU
rnacentral:rRNA from 1 species